GGAAGUGUGUGUGUGUGUGUGUGUGUGUGUGUGUGUGUGUGUGUGUGUGCGUGCGCGCGCGCGCGCGCACGCGUGCACAUGCACGC
rnacentral:miRNA from 1 species